rnacentral:lncRNA from 1 species
AUGCCCCACCCUUCGGAUUUGUCAUCUUGUCCUGCAUCCACCCGGACUUUUGACCCCAGGUUAGAUGAGGCCACCUCCUCGGUUCCCCAGCCCGGCCAGAGGCCACAGUGCCCACUUAGAGUAAAAGCAGGGUGCGGCAGGCUCCGAGCCCACGCGUGGCUUGGGCCACCGCCUAGGUCUCCAGACUGUGCCUCUGGGAAGCAGCACCUACACCCCCCCGGGAGCAGGGACCCCUUCGCGGGCAGCUCGCUCUCCCGCCGGCGCGGGCGCAGUGCGCGCCGGGCCCGACCGUACCAGGAGUGCACGUCGGGUGGGCAGGCGAGGGUCGGCGGCGCGCGGCGGUGGAUCCGGACUUGGCGGCAGCUGCUCGGGUAUUCGGAGUGGGGCGCGGGAGGGGCCUUAAAUGGAACCGCGCGGCUGACGUCAGGGGGGAGCUGGGAGGACGUGCGGGAACCCACGUAUGGGUCGGGCUGGGGGCGGGCUCCGAGCCGGGCGGGGCAGUGGAGAGGCUCCGGCGGCGCGCGCAGGCGGACCUGGGGCAGGCGAACAGACCCACGUGCUCUGGAACGUCUACACUGCUGCCCAGAGCCACGCUGUCUCCGGCCACAGAAACGCCGGCCAGAGCCACCAGCCGGAGACCGGCCGACCCUCAAUUUCCUCUUCCGUAAAAUGUGGAGGUUACUCUCGAGGAAGAUAAGCUCUUCAUGGCUAGAAACCUCUUCGUUCAUCUGCAUAUCCCAGCGCAUACAGACUCUGACUGAAGCACUAAGCAAUACCUACAUAACCAGAAUGGUAGUGGGACAAGAACUCUAAAUCCUCUACUUCCCUAACAGAAUGUCGGCAGAUUAAAACAACAAUG